GGAGGUAUAGCUCAGUGGUAGAGUGAGGGCUUAGCAUGCCUAGUAUGCCUGAGAUCCUGGGUUCAAUGCCUAGUACCUCCA
rnacentral:tRNA from 1 species